ACCUGGUUGAUCCUGCCAGUAGUCAUAUGCUUGUCUCAAAGAUUAAGCCAUGCAUGUCUAAGUUCAAACUUAAUUGACAGUGAAACCGCGAAUAGCUCAUUAAACCAGCUAUAAUUUAUUGGAUCUUGCACUAUAGUUGGAUAACUGUGGCAAAUCUAGAGCUAACACAUGCAAUAGAGCUUUUUGGAUUUCCGUUAAAAGAAGUCAGAGAAGGGCAAUUGUUAGUAAAAUAACCAAUCAGAGGAUAUUUAUAGACUCUGGUUAUUGGUGACUCUGGACAAUUUUGCCGAUCGUAAGGCCUAGAGCCGACGAUAGAUCCUUCAAGUGUCUGCCCUAUCAACUUUCGAUGGUAGGGUAUCGGCCUACCAUGGUUGUAACGGGUAACGGAGAAUCAGGGUUCGAUUCCGGAGAGGGAGCCUUAGAAACAGCUCCUACUUCCAAGGAGGGCAGCAGGCGCGCAAACUACCCAAUCCCGGUUCGGGGAGGUGGUGACGAAAAAUGUCGGACGAGUCAACCUUUGGUUUGCUCGAUCGAGAUGGAGAUUGAAAUAAAAACUCUAACGAAAGCAAUUGGAGGGCAAGUCUGGUGCCAGCAGCCGCGGUAAUUCCAGCUCCAAUAGCGUAUAUUAAAGUUGUUGCAGUUAAAACGCUCGUAGUUGGAAUUAGGAUUGCUAAUUUUUUGUCAUCAUGUGACGAAUCAUUAUGAAUCCCUAUGUUAGUUGUUUUCAGUUCUCUUUAUUGAGUGCUGUGAAUGACUACAAAUUUUACUUUGAAAAAAUUAGAGUGCUCAAAGCAGGCCGUAAGUGUCUGGAUGUUGUUGCAUGGGAUAAUGGAAUAGGACCUCUGUUCUAUCUGUUGGUUGAUGAACUUGAGGUAAUGAUUAAGAGGGACAGUCGGGGGCAUUCAUACUGCAGCGUUAGAGGUGGAAUUCUUGGAUCGCUGUAUGAUGAACAACUGCGAAAGCAUUUGCCAAGAAUGUUUUCAUUAAUCAAGAACGAAAGUCAGAGGCGCGAAGACGAUCAGAUACCGUCGUAGUUCUGACCGUAAACCAUGUCGACUAACGAUUCGCUCAGUUCCAACUAAUAAUCGGUCUGAGUGAGGAGUUUACGGGAAACCAAAGUUUUUGGAUUCCGGGGGAAGUAUGGUUGCAAAGCUGAAACUUAAAGGAAUUGACGGAAGGGCACCACCAGGAGUGGAGCCCGCGGCUCAAUUUGACUCAACACGGGAAAACUUACCCGGACUGGACACUGGAAUGAUAGACAGAUUGAUGGCUCUUUCUUGAUUCAGUGAUUGGUGGUGCAUGGCCGUUCUUAGUUGGUGGAGCGAUUUGUCUGGUUAAUUCCGAUAACGAACGAGACUCUAGCCUGCUAAAUAGGAUAAUGACUGCUUUCAGUUUAAAUUGAAAAUCAGUGGUCAUGUAUUCUUCUUAGAGGGACUGGUGUUCGGCUUAAUAAUGUAGACACACGAAAUAGAGCAAUAACAGGUCUGUGAUGCCCUUAGAUGUCCGGGGCUGCACGCGCGCUACACUGAAGGAAUCAUUGGGUGUAUUUGUCCUAACCCGAGAGGGUAUGGAAAUCCGUGAAACUCCUUCGUGAUAGGGAUUGUGCGAUGUAAUUGCGCACAUGAACGAGGAAUUCCUUGUAAGCGCGAGUCAUUAGCUCGUGUUGAAUACGUCCCUGCCCUUUGUACACACCGCCCGUCACUACUACUGAUUGAAUGGUUUAGUGAGGUCAUUGGAUUGAUCUCCUUGUGUUGAUUAAUUGAUACGAUGGAGAUUUGAGUAAGAUGAUCGAACUUGGCCAUUUAGAGGAAGUAAAAGUCGUAACAAGGUUUCCGUAGGUGAACCUGCAGAAGGAUCAAGC
rnacentral:rRNA from 1 species